CCUGCCCCUGACUCUGGGGAUAAGCGCUGGAAACGGCGUCUAAUACUGGAUAUGUGACGUGACCGCAUGGUCUGCGUUUGGAAAGAUUUUUCGGUUGGGGAUGGGCUCGCGGCCUAUCAGCUUGUUGGUGAGGUAAUGGCUCACCAAGGCGUCGACGGGUAGCCGGCCUGAGAGGGUGACCGGCCACACUGGGACUGAGACACGGCCCAGACUCCUACGGGAGGCAGCAGUGGGGAAUAUUGCACAAUGGGCGGAAGCCUGAUGCAGCAACGCCGCGUGAGGGAUGACGGCCUUCGGGUUGUAAACCUCUUUUAGCAGGGAAGAAGCGAAAGUGACGGUACCUGCAGAAAAAGCGCCGGCUAACUACGUGCCAGCAGCCGCGGUAAUACGUAGGGCGCAAGCGUUAUCCGGAAUUAUUGGGCGUAAAGAGCUCGUAGGCGGUUUGUCGCGUCUGCUGUGAAAUCCCGAGGCUCAACCUCGGGCCUGCAGUGGGUACGGGCAGACUAGAGUGCGGUAGGGGAGAUUGGAAUUCCUGGUGUAGCGGUGGAAUGCGCAGAUAUCAGGAGGAACACCGAUGGCGAAGGCAGAUCUCUGGGCCGUAACUGACGCUGAGGAGCGAAAGGGUGGGGAGCAAACAGGCUUAGAUACCCUGGUAGUCCACCCCGUAAACGUUGGGAACUAGUUGUGGGGUCCAUUCCACGGAUUCCGUGACGCAGCUAACGCAUUAAGUCCCGCCUGGG
rnacentral:rRNA from 1 species